AGUCACCUUGCUCGGUGGUUUGAGCCCCCACCAUAGACCAUAUCACCUCUUUUUUAGCCCAUGUCCAUCCUAAGGUCCAGCCAGGGCUCAUGAUGUGCCGGUACAUCUGAAAAUUGUUCAUUGUCACAACUGCCUGCAGUAUCUGAGAACUGCCAAGCUCACAAUGGCUGAUUACUAGUAUGUAUUGAAGAAAGAAAGAGAUGUGCAAGAGGAAUUGUCAAGGAGUUUGAGAUGGCUUACCUACUGGUGGUUAGACACCUAGAGGUUAUCUUCUAUCGCCCCCUUCCUUUUCUCUCAUGUUUAUAUUUCUGUUACGAGUUUUUCUGUAUCUUGAAGCAAUGACUUGGUGUGAAGUGAGAAGAAAAAAGGAGAGAAGAUAGGCGGGAGAUUUGAAGGCUGAACACAACAUUCCAACGGUUACCCUGACAGCCAAAGGUGACAGGCUACGUGAUGUUGCUAUUCAUGCUUACAUGGGAUAGUCUUGGAUGAAAUUGUUUUGCCAAACUUAACAUUGGACAUAGACAAAAAUCUUUGUCCCUCUGUCUCAAAUGCAGUUGCAAUCAUAGAACUAUAUCUAUAGUUUCUAGACCUUUCUUUGAUUAUAAAGGCAUCAUCGAAGAUAUGGGAAUGGGCUUAUGAUACUGCAAAACCUAUACAAGGGCAUUGAGAAAAAAAUAGUUGCAGAGGGCAUUUUGGUCAUCUCGAGUGACGGUGUUAGCUUCCUUGAAUCUUUGCCUAAGUGAAAAUUUAAAAAAAAAUCUUUUGAUUGGGAAAUUUGCUGAUUAUUAUUAUUGUCACGUUUACAGUCAGAAAAAGGUAGAGUUCGUGGCAAGUAAACAGGGGUAGGGACAAGUAGUGAGCUCCAUUCUCUGACAAAAAAAAUAAAAAGAGACAUCUCAACCAACAUUCAGCAGACUUUGGAUGCUUCAAGAAACAGUCUAACUUCUAAAGUACUUACUUUUUCAGUUUUCGGCCAUUUUGUCGGUGGUCCUAUGCUCUCAAUUGGUAUAAGCAAUAGGGAGCCAGAAUUUUGGUUCAGAAAAAACAUUAUUGAGUUAAAUUCUCAACAAAAAUUGUACUUUAUUUAAUUUUUUAUUUUGUAUUUGAUAGUAAGACUAAAAAUUAGU